CCUACGGGGUGCAGCAGUGGGGGAUAUUGCACAAUGGGGGAAACCCUGAUGCAGCGACGCCGCGUGGGUGAAGAAGCGCCUCGGCGCGUAAAGCCCUGUCAGCAGGGAAGAAAAUGACGGUACCUGAAGAAGAAGCCCCGGCUAACUACGUGCCAGCAGCCGCGGUAAUACGGAGGGGGCAAGCGUUAUCCGGAUUUACUGGGUGUAAAGGGGGCGCAGACGGCGAUGCAAGCCAGGAGUGAAAGCCCGGGGCCCAACCCCGGGACUGCUCUUGGAACUGCGUGGCUAGAGUGCAGGAGGGGCAGGCGGAAUUCCGGGUGUAGCGGUGAAAUGCGUAGAUAUCAGGAGGAACACCGGUGGCGAAGGCGGCCUGCUGGACUGCAACUGACGUUGAGGCCCGAAAGCGUGGGGAGCAAACAGGAUUAGAUACCCGAGUAGUC
rnacentral:rRNA from 1 species